AACCUGCCCAAAAGAGGGGGAUAACACUUGGAAACAGGUGCUAAUACCGCAUAACCAUAGUUACCGCAUGGUAACUAUGUAAAAGGUGGCUAUGCUACCGCUUUUGGAUGGGCCCGCGGCGCAUUAGCUAGUUGGUGGGGUAAAGGCUUACCAAGGCAAUGAUGCGUAGCCGAACUGAGAGGUUGAUUGGCCACAUUGGGACUGAGACACGGCCCAAACUCCUACGGGAGGCAGCAGUAGGGAAUCUUCCACAAUGGGCGAAAGCCUGAUGGAGCAACGCCGCGUGGGUGAAGAAGGUCUUCGGAUCGUAAAACCCUGUUGUUAGAGAAGAAAGUGCGUGAGAGUAACUGUUCACGUUUCGACGGUAUCUAACCAGAAAGCCACGGCUAACUACGUGCCAGCAGCCGCGGUAAUACGUAGGUGGCAAGCGUUAUCCGGAUUUAUUGGGGGUAAAGGGAACGCAGGCGGUCUUUUAAGUCUGAUGUGAAAGCCUUCGGCUUAACCGGAGUAGUGCAUUGGAAACUGGGAGACUUGAGUGCAGAAGAGGAGAGUGGAACUCCAUGUGUAGCGGUGAAAUGCGUAGAUAUAUGGAAGAACACCAGUGGCGAAAGCGGCUCUCUGGUCUGUAACUGACGCUGAGGUUCGAAAGCGUGGGUAGCAAACAGGAUUAGAUACCCUGGUAGUCCACGCCGUAAACGAU
rnacentral:rRNA from 1 species